CGAGAAAGCCCGCAAGGGUGAGUAAAGCGGCGCACGGGUGCGUAACACGUGGGUAAUCUGCCCUAGAGUCCGGAAUAACUCGCCGAAAGGCGCGCUAAUGCCGGAUGAGACCACGGGAGCUCCGGCUCCCGCGGGAAAAGGUGGCCUCUGUAUACAAGCUAUCGCUCUAGGAUGAGCCCGCGGCCCAUCAGCUCGUUGGCGGGGUAAUGGCCCACCAAGGCUACGACGGGUAGCUGGUCUGAGAGGACGAUCAGCCACACUGGAACUGAGACACGGUCCAGACUCCUACGGGAGGCAGCAGUGGGGAAUCUUGCGCAAUGGGCGAAAGCCUGACGCAGCAACGCCGCGUGUGUGAUGAAGGUCUUCGGAUCGUAAAGCACUGUCGCGAGGGACG
rnacentral:rRNA from 1 species